UACGUAGGGUGCGAGCGUUGUCCGGAUUUAUUGGGCGUAAAGAGCUCGUAGGCGGUUUGUCGCGUCGGCCGUGAAAUCUCCACGCUUAACGUGGAGCGUGCGGUCGAUACGGGCAGACUUGAGUUCGGUAGGGGAGACUGGAAUUCCUGGUGUAGCGGUGAAAUGCGUAGAUAUCGGGAGGAACACCCGUGGCGAAGGCGGCUCUCUGGCCUGUAACUGACGCUGAGGCGCGAAAGCGUGGGGAGCGAACAGG
rnacentral:rRNA from 1 species